GAUGAACGCUGGCGGCGUGCUUAACACAUGCAAGUCGAACGGGAAGGCUCCUGCUUGCAGGGGUACUCGAGUGGCGAACGGGUGAGUAACACGUGGGUGAUCUGCCCUGCACUUCGGGAUAAGCCUGGGAAACUGGGUCUAAUACCGGAUAGGACCACAUUUUGGAUGGUGUGGUGGAAAGUUUUUCGGUGUGGGAUGAGCUCGCGGCCUAUCAGCUUGUUGGUGGGGUAAUGGCCUACCAAGGCGUCGACGGGUAGCCGGCCUGAGAGGGUGUACGGCCACAUUGGGACUGAGAUACGGCCCAGACUCCUACGGGAGGCAGCAGUGGGGAAUAUUGCACAAUGGGCGCAAGCCUGAUGCAGCGACGCCGCGUGGGGGAUGACGGCCUUCGGGUUGUAAGCUCCUUUCGCUAGGGACGAAGCGCAAGUGACGGUACCUGGAGAAGAAGCACCGGCUAACUACGUG
rnacentral:rRNA from 1 species